UCGAGCGAACGGACGAGAAGCUUGCUUUUCUGAUGUUAGCGGCGGACGGGUGAGUAACACGUGGAUAACCUACCUAUAAGACUGGGAUAACUUCGGGAAACCGGAGCUAAUACCGGAUAAUAUUUUGAACCGCAUGGUUCAAAAGUGAAAGACGGUCUUGCUGUCACUUAUAGAUGGAUCCGCGCUGCAUUAGCUAGUUGGUAAGGUAACGGCUUACCAAGGCAACGAUGCAUAGCCGACCUGAGAGGGUGAUCGGCCACACUGGAACUGAGACACGGUCCAGACUCCUACGGGAGGCAGCAGUAGGGAAUCUUCCGCAAUGGGCGAAAGCCUGACGGAGCAACGCCGCGUGAGUGAUGAAGGUCUUCGGAUCGUAAACUCUGUUAUUAGGGAAGAACAUAUGUGUAAGUAACUGUGCACAUCUUGACGGUACCUAAUCAGAAAGCCACGGCUAACUACGUGCCAGCAGCCGCGGUAAUACGUAGGUGGCAAGCGUUAUCCGGAAUUAUUGGGCGUAAAGCGCGCGUAGGCGGUUUUUUAAGUCUGAUGUGAAAGCCCACGGCUCAACCGUGGAGGGUCAUUGGAAACUGGAAAACUUGAGUGCAGAAGAGGAAAGUGGAAUUCCAUGUGUAGCGGUGAAAUGCGCAGAGAUAUGGAGGAACACCAGUGGCGAAGGCGACUUUCUGGUCUGUAACUGACGCUGAUGUGCGAAAGCGUGGGGAUCAAACAGGAUUA
rnacentral:rRNA from 1 species